rnacentral:lncRNA from 1 species
GGAAUUCUUCUAUUUUCUUUUUUUAUUUUAACUUUCUGAGACGUGUUUUAAUGAUAAAAUCGAAAUGAAAUUUUGAAUUGAACAAUACGACGAAUGUAAUAAUUAACUUUACAGUAUAUUAUUUUAACUGAUCGGAAUACGUGACUAAUUUAUUCUAUGUAUCGAUCAAAUUAACAAUACACAAACUCAUGCCAAUGAACAAAACUAGUCUGAAAAAAAUUGAAGGAACAAACGAAUUUUUGAAUAUGAUCUAAUGAACAUGGUUAGAACUCAAAGGUGGCAACCACAGCAAAGGUAGAAAACACAAAGCGUGGAAACAAUAACAACCCCUUCCACGACAGAGACAAUCUUGUAAACGAUGUUGUCGACGAUGGUGGUGUGUAUGUGGAGUCGUUUUCCUCGAAACGACGACGACAACCUUCGUGGCCACAACUCCUUGCUCAGCUUCUUAAACGACCAGCUUGUACCCUUCUUCUCCAUCAAAUGAUUCUUAAGUAUCAACCAAAAGGGUCUGAAAUUUUCUUUGGUUUGGUCGUUUUUGUUUAGUGUGUGUAUGUGGAGAGAGGGUGUGUGAAGUGCCUUUUAUAUGCGUAGAAAACAAAGAAAUAUGAUGUUAGUGUCUUGGACGAUGCUUCAACGACAAGGCUUUUGGCUGGCACUGCCCAUGUUUUGCUGGCCAAAGAUUACACGUAAAAUUGCACUUUCCUUCUGGACUGGUCCUCUUUCAGAUUCUUCAAUACUACAUUAUAUAUGUUAUUCAUGUUGUUGCUUGCAAUUCUGUGACUUAAAAAUUUGACACAAAUAUAAGAAAAAUUG